rnacentral:rRNA from 1 species
GUCGAGCGGACAGAAGGGAGCUUGCUCCCGGAUGUUAGCGGCGGACGGGUGAGUAACACGUGGGUAACCUGCCUGUAAGACUGGGAUAACUCCGGGAAACCGGAGCUAAUACCGGAUAGUUCCUUGAACCGCAUGGUUCAAGGAUGAAAGACGGUUUCGGCUGUCACUUACAGAUGGACCCGCGGCGCAUUAGCUAGUUGGUGGGGUAAUGGCUCACCAAGGCGACGAUGCGUAGCCGACCUGAGAGGGUGAUCGGCCACACUGGGACUGAGACACGGCCCAGACUCCUACGGGAGGCAGCAGUAGGGAAUCUUCCGCAAUGGACGAAAGUCUGACGGAGCAACGCCGCGUGAGUGAUGAAGGUUUUCGGAUCGUAAAGCUCUGUUGUUAGGGAAGAACAAGUGCGAGAGUAACUGCUCGCACCUUGACGGUACCUAACCAGAAAGCCACGGCUAACUACGUGCCAGCAGCCGCGGUAAUACGUAGGUGGCAAGCGUUGUCCGGAAUUAUUGGGCGUAAAGGGCUCGCAGGCGGUUUCUUAAGUCUGAUGUGAAAGCCCCCGGCUCAACCGGGGAGGGUCAUUGGAAACUGGGAAACUUGAGUGCAGAAGAGGAGAGUGGAAUUCCACGUGUAGCGGUGAAAUGCGUAGAGAUGUGGAGGAACACCAGUGGCGAAGGCGACUCUCUGGUCUGUAACUGACGCUGAGGAGCGAAAGCGU